UUAGGAUGAAGUAUAUUGGUAUUACAUAGAAUUUUGAAUUCUAAGAGGUGGGUUCAAUUCCUACUGUCCUAGA
rnacentral:tRNA from 1 species